GGAGAGAUGGCUGAGUGGUUUAAGGCGGCGGUUUGCUAAACCGUUGAAGAUGUUAAGUCUUCCGCAGGUUCGAAUCCUGUUCUCUCCGCCA
rnacentral:tRNA from 1 species